AUGGUGCUGGUCUCACAGCAGAAUGUGUAUUUCUACUGGUGCGACAUCUUGGUUUUUAUGUGAAUAGAGAAGCCAGGUGUAUUUGUUAGCAGACACGAAAAGGUUCGUACGGAGGAAACGUUUCUAAAGAGUAUGAAAUGGUACUUCUCUAUGAAAUGCUGUUAUAGAACAAUUCAAAAUUGCUUCUUCUGAGGCAGGAGACGAGGGCAUGGCAACAUGGCUGUGGCAACUGGGCUCGACCUGCCAGCUGCAGAGACUUGUUAACCUUGGAUGCAGAGCAGCAGCCCUGAGCCAGCACCUGUUCUUCGAGCACGAGAUUAAGUGGGACGGCCUGGGACCAGCAUCAGAAAGAAGACAGAAAAGACAGCAGCCCUGCCAUCUGCCGCUGCCCUCUUGUUCCGAGGGCAGCCUGUCCUUGAAGUGCCUUUUUCUCCUUGAACACUUCUUUUUUUUGCUCUUACACAUUCACAAAUUGUUCUGACCAAUUCGCUGAACAGAACAAUAAGAGCCUGAAAAGCUCCUCCAGUCACUUCGUUUGGCGAAGCCAGCAAGAAGGUAACACAGGGAGCCAGGAGAGCAAGAGGCCAAUGCAGGAGGUGAUGGUUCCUUGGAUUGUACAAGCCCUUCACAGUAAAGAUGCCAAAUGCCUCCUUCCCAGUGUCAGUAAAUCUAGAGCAUUUACAGUUCAACUAUGGCAAGAAGCAGGUCUCCUUCCCGCCACCCAGGGCUGUCCUUCCUCUUCGAGCUGGUACCUGACUGAGAAGACGCGGUCGAGAUAUGAUCCCUCGCAGAUCGAUGUAAACGGGGGAGGAGAGCCCGCUCUUCAGUACGAAAUCCCCAAACUUGAAAGCCUGCACUUCGUACAGGGCCGUCACCAGAUGUCCUAAAGUAGCGCCCACUGCCGCCAUGCUUGAACGCUCCCAGUCUGGACCAGCGCGCCCGCCGGCGGCCGUGUGACAUCACCGGAGGUCCCGCCCCCUUCCACCGCCCCUUCCGGCCGGGACGAGGUCCAGGGGCCGCCUGGGGGCUCAGGGCUAAAGCCCGGACACCUUGGCUGGCUCUGGUCAUGAGGCUGGCUCUGGUGAUGAGGCUGGCUCUAGCAGGAGAGUUUGUGUAGACUCUGCCCAGUUUUUCUAGCUCAGUGUCCCCUCGAUGAUUCUUAGUUAUCGCUAUUCCUUGACAUCACGCGCCAGUUAUUAGCCCGUUACCCUCUCCCAAGGCUUCGGGAAGACGUCGGAUGUUAACUUCCCAGCAGCUAUUGCUUACAGCUGGGAGCAGCCUGAAGGACAACUCCAGCAUUACAAUUACUUUUAAAAAAAUGUUUUUCAUCACAUUCAUGUGAUUUCGGUGCAGGCUUCCUGCUGCAGUCUGUGCACCACUGUCCUGGAUGCUGUCAUAGCAAUUCUGAAUGGCUCCAAGGGAAGCUGUUUAUCCCAGUCAGCCACGGUGGUCAGAAGAGCAUUUGCCAAGCCGUACUUCAGAGGAAGGGCGAGACCCCGCUCAGCAUGACAUAGGUCAGAACCCCGAUGCUCCAGAUAUCUGUGCCCAGGGAGACGGGGAUGCCUUGGAUCACUUCUGGGGCAGCGAACUCGGGAUUCCCCAGCAGGUGGUGGAUGUGGAAGUGGCCUGAGAUCUGGACAGCAUCUUCCAAGUCAAUGAGCUUCACUCGAGGCACUGGAAUCCGAAGGAAAUCUGGAAUAAGUGAAAUGUUUUGAAGAGCAAGUUCCACCCUAGAAGAAUUCCUUGGGCAGUAGACUGGGGUGCUGCUGUGACAGAGGAUGGACGCACAAACCCCUCUCAACUCCACAUUUCAUUUCACCUCCACAUCUGUCAACCAGCCCAUUGUAGAUAAGUUCUCCCUAAACUCCUGCCCAACCUGAGUCCACGAGAGAAAGAAAAUGAACACUGGAGUGAGAAGUGAGUGGAAAUUUAGUUAGGUGAGAGGAAUGAGUUCUGGUGCUGUACUGCACAGUAGGGUGGCUGUAUAUUUCAAAAUAGCUAGAAGAGACCAUGUUCAGUGUUCCCACCACGAAGAAAUGAUAAAUGUUCAAGGUAAUGGAUAUGCUAGUUACCUUGAUUUGAUCAUUAUGCAAUGGUAUACAUGUAUUGAAACAUCACGCUGUAUCCUGUAAAUAUACCAUUAUAUGUCAAUCAAAAAUAAAAU